rnacentral:rRNA from 1 species
UGAGGAAUAUUGGUCAAUGGGCGUAAGCCUGAACCAGCCAAGUAGCGUGCGGGAUGACGGCCCUAUGGGUUGUAAACCGCUUUUGGACGGGGAUAAAGUGCGCCACGCGUGGUGCAUUGCAGGUACCGUCGGAAUAAGGACCGGCUAAUUCCGUGCCAGCAGCCGCGGUAAUACGGAAGGUCCGGGCGUUAUCCGGAUUUAUUGGGUUUAAAGGGAGCGUAGGCCGGUUUGUAAGCCAGCAGUGAAAUGUAGAUGCUCAACAUCUGAGUUGCUGUUGGAACUGCGGACCUUGAGUGCGCGCAAGGGCGGCGGAAUUUGUGGUGUAGCGGUGAAAUGCUUAGAUAUCACGAAGAACCCCGAUUGCGAAGGCAGCUGCCCGGAGCGCAACUGACGCUGAAGCUCGAAGGUGCGGGUAUCGAACA